GACGAACGCUGGCGGCGUGCCUAAUACAUGCAAGUCGAACGCAGUGGGGACGGGUGAGUAACACGUGGGUAACCUCCCAUCAGAGGGGAUAACACUUGGAAACAGGUGCUAAACCGAUACUGAUGGAUGAACCCGCGGUGCAUUAGCUAGUGGGUGAGGUAACGGCUCACCAAUGCCACGAUGCAUAGCCGACCGGGGGGGGUGAUCGGCCAAACGGGGACGGAGACACGGCCCAGACUCCUACGGUAGGAGGCAGUAGGGAAUCUUCGGCAAUGGACGAAAGUCUGACCGAGAAACGCCGCGUGAGUGAAGAAGGUUUUCGGAUCGUAAAACUCUGUGGUUAGAGAAGCGGUAUCUAACCAGAAAGCCACGGCUAACUACGUGCCAGCAGCCGCGGUAAUUC
rnacentral:rRNA from 1 species